CCUACGGGUGGCAGCAGUGGGGAAUAUUGGGCAAUGGAGGCAACUCUUACCCAGCAAUGCCGCGUGAAUGAAGAAGGUCUUCGGAUUGUAAAGUUCUUUAAUUGGGGACGAAAAAAAUGACGGUACCCAAGGAAUAAGCCCCGGCUAACUACGUGCCAGCAGCCGCGGUAAUACGGGGGAUGCAAGCGUUAUCCGGAUUUAUUGGGUUUAAAGGGUGCGUAGGCUGUGAGGUAAGUCAGCGGUGAAAUGCCCCCGCUCAACGGGGUGAAGUGCCAUUGAUACUGCCUUGCUGGAAUGCGGAUGCCGUGGGAGGAAUGUGUGGUGUAGCGGUGAAAUGCAUAGAUAUCACACAGAACACCGAUUGCGAAGGCAUCUCACGAAUCCGCGAUUGACGCUGAUGCACGAAAGCGUGGGUAUCAAACAGGAUUAGAUACCCUUGUAGUC
rnacentral:rRNA from 1 species